GGGCCCAUAGCUCAGUCGGUAGAGCACCGUGCUGAUAACGCGGGGGUCAGUGGUUCGAUCCCACUUGGGCCCA
rnacentral:tRNA from 1 species